GAUGAACGCUGGCGGCGUGCUUAACACAUGCAAGUCGAACGAAGCACUGGAGAACGAAUCUUCGGAGGAAGUCUCCUUUGACUGAGUGGCGGACGGGUGAGUAACGCGUGGGUAACCUGCCUCACACAGGGGGAUAACAGUUGGAAACGACCGCUAAUACCGCAUAAGCCGGAAGGAUCGCAUGAUCCGGCCGGAAAAGAUUUAUCGGUGUGAGAUGGACCCGCGUCUGAUUAGCCAGUUGGCAGGGUAACGGCCUACCAAAGCGACGAUCAGUAGCCGGCCUGAGAGGGUGAACGGCCACAUUGGGACUGAGACACGGCCCAA
rnacentral:rRNA from 1 species